AUUGAACGCUGGCGGCAUGCCUUACACAUGCAAGUCGAACGGCAGCAUGAUCUAGCUUGCUAGAUUGAUGGCGAGUGGCGAACGGGUGAGUAAUACAUCGGAACGUGCCCUGUAGUGGGGGAUAACUAGUCGAAAGAUUAGCUAAUACCGCAUACGACCUGAGGGUGAAGGUGGGGGACCGCAAGGCCUCAUGCUAUAGGAGCGGCCGAUGUCUGAUUAGCUAGAUGGUGAGGUAAAGGCUCACCAAGGCGACGAUCAGUAGAUGGUCUGAGAGGACGAUCAGCCACCGUGGGACUGAGACACGGCCCAGACUCCUACGGGAGGCAGCGGUGGGGAAUUUUGGACAAUGGGGGCAACCCUGAUCCAGCAAUGCCGCGUGUGUGAAGAAGGCCUUCGGGUUGUAAAGCACUUUUGUCCGGAAAGAAAUCGCACUUACUAAUAUUAGGUGUGGAUGACGGUACCGGAAGAAUAAGGACCGGCUAACUACGUGCCAGCAGCCGCGGUAAUAC
rnacentral:rRNA from 1 species